AAAAUUUCUUUUACUGAGAAACUUUUCUUUCGAGGAUUGACUGAAGUUAAAUCGGCAACUUUUCCUACAGUUACCUAAUUUGUAACAAAGAAAAGUCCUUUCCCUGGUCUAUUCCACUUGCAAGGUAGGGAUGUAACUGGAAUGAUAGGCUUUGGAUUUACGAUUUGAACAUUAUUGGAAGAGGUAGAAUUUUCCUCUUUGGUAUGAGCAAUUGCUUGCUGAAGUAAAGCACUCACGUGGAUGCAACUGCAACCAAGCCUGUGUUAUGGAAAUAUAUUUGUACAAAAAUA